CCCGAUACCUUCUCUCCGGUGAGCACAUGCAGCCCCUCGCGGACCUUGGCGAAGGAGCCCUCUCCCAGCUUCCUGCCGAUCAGAUAGUGAAGAACACUGGGCCCAAGACUGACUGCUUUGAGGCACCACUUAAGACCAGCCUCCAUCUGGACAUGGAGCCAUUGAUCAGAACCCUCUGGCUGCACCUGAGCACAGAGGAAAAGCACAACCCUGUUGAAACAGCAGCAGGGUGUCUUCGGCAGGAGGAUUCACAAGGUAAGGAGGGCAUGAGAAGCAGGAGACCAUCGAGUGGCUUAGAUGAACAGCAAGAGCGGCUUAUACUGUUCAGAACUACACUGUUUAUGGCCUGGCUCCUGAGCUGCCCUGUCCUGGCCUCAGGACGCACAGAAAGGGACACAAAGCACUGCCAGUGUUCCUCGUGGCAUGGGGAGGGUUGUCAGGGACUGACUGUGCUAAAUGCACUGUCACCUUGUUGCCUGCUGCCCUGCAGGUGCUACCCAGGGUUAUCUUUAUUCUGUGGGACCAGGCACAAGCAGAGUGCUGGGUCUGUCUGAAGGAACACAGGCAGACGGAUAGAUAGAAGUAUAUGCCUUUGGGCUCACGGCUCCCACUCAGCUAACAGAAAUGCAGGUUUGGCCACUGUGAAGUUUAAACAGAUGUUAACGGCACAUGUUUUUCAGCCAAAACCUUGAAAAUCAGCCUCUCUUAAAAAUAAAACUGGUAAGAAGUGCCCAUUGCAGAAGGCAUUAGAAGAGCUCUGAAGCAACACAGUGACUACUUUUUUUUUUUAAUUUGCUCAGCUUGGGGGCUUAAUGAGUUGUCAAUGCCCUUUGAAAGAGGCGAGACUGCACUUUCCUCAUUGCUUCUCUCCUGUCCAGCUGUGCCCAUCAGGUUGCAGUCUGGAUGGAACGGGGAUCAAAGGCUGCAUUCAUUUCUAUCCACGCUUUAAUUUAAAUUUAACUCCAGCGUGCUUUAUUUUGAGCUGUAGUCCUUCUAGGUAAUGACAUUUUUCUGAUUAACUGCUGAAAUUACUAAUGAAUUAAAGGCAGCAGUCUGCCUUUGGGUUGCAAAAGCUGUAAUAACAAGCUGCUGAAAAUAAUUAAAAAUUGAUUUAAAUCCAUGAAAACACAGAAAUUUGGAAUUACCCUGGUGGUAUUGUCCUUGGUUGUCUGCAUCACUUGAAAAUAUUGUAGUAAUGCGUGUUAUCAGAGGGAAUUCUUCAGCCCCUCACAGGCCCCUGUGCCUGACCCCAGGGCCAAGAGGUGCCUCCUUCAUGGGGCUUAGCACUGAGGCUGAGCUCCCACGCUCUGCUGCUAUUCCAGGAGAGGAUGUGGCAGAGACAGGGCUGGAAAAUGCAAUACAGAAGCAAAACAUGGCCCUGCAAGGGGAAUAUUGUGACCCUGAAGGUUGCCUCACCUUGUGAUGCCUCUCCUGGAGCAGCUGCUGGUGGCAGCCUGCCAAGCAUUUCUCCCCAAAGCAUGGGGCUGUCACCAGGGGUGCUUGAGUUCUCCUUAUGCCUCACCUGCAUGUGCGAGCCAUAUUAAUUACUCUCACUUGUCUUUCUGAAGAGAUCUGAAGUCCUUGAGCAAAGGAAUGAAGAAAUUGCAGCUCUGCUCAGCAUCGUGGUGGUAAACGAAGAAGCAGGUAGACUCACCAGUUUGCUGCACAAGAGCAACAUGUAAAUUCUGUUCUGGUCAAGUUAAAAGCAGGACAGCUCCAUUUACCAUCAGCAGACAUUUGGAAGCCAAUGAUUGAAUGCUGAUUUCAGCCAGACUGUGGGAGAAACACUGACUUGGCACUAAUAACUUAUGUUAAAAACGUUAUGUUGUUAUUGCUCAUUGUCUCCUCAGUAUUUUUCUAUGCUUUAAAAUAGCACUUUGGGGUUUGGGUGGUUUUUUUGGACGAGUAUGUGCAUUUCUAAUAUUUGGGUUUCAGAUAUUACAGGGAUAUUAAUUUAAAACAACUUGUUUUAUUAUAUUUUUUGAGGAGUUAAUGUAUUAACGUUUGUUCUUGAAGGAUUUAUGAGCCAUGUUUUUUGCAGUAUUUAAAUCCCAGCCCAAGUUCAGACCGACGAGGCCCUUCUCUGCACACUGCCACCUCUGCAGUAAUGGAAUUACACAAUCAUGGAAUUGUUUGAGCUAGAAAGGAACCCUUAAAGGCCACCUGGACAAACUCCCCUGCAGUGAACAGGGACACCCACAGUUCCAUCAGGUGCUCAAAGCCCCGUCCAGCCUGACAUCGAGUGUCUCUGAGGAUGGGGCAUCCACCGCUUCUCUGGGCAACCUGUUCCACUGCCUUACCAUCCUUAUGGUAAAAAACUUCUUCCUUAUAUCCAAUCUAAAUCUCUCCUCUUUUAGUUUGAAGACGUGAGAUAAUGCACUCAGUCCAGCAAGGGUGCCUGUUACACUUCAGGACACAGCUCCUUCAGCGUAACAGAGUUCAGGAUCAUCUAAUAACAUUGUGACUUCUGUACCUGCAGACAAAUGCUGCAGAUACUGGCUAAUGUUCAGGGGUGUUGCUGCAUUCAUGGGGUCUUCUAACCAUAGAGAAUGAACGUGCUUCACCUUUCAAGGAUCAGGAAGGAGGCUUUCAUAGCUAAGCUUUCCUAAGUUUAAGUUUGUGCUUGAAAAAUAUCGAGCAAUGUUUGUCUUCAGAAAUAUUUCGCAUAUACAUAUGGAAAAGCAUCUGAAUAAGUAAACAGGGAGCACUGAAACUAUUUGCUGACUUUCACAGAAAUAUGUUAGCAAUGGGUUUAUCUCACACUGCUUCUCUGAGCACCAAAAGCUCCAGUUUUCCCAUGCUCCCACCGAAGUCUUCAGCUUGCUCUUUGCCUUGCAGCUUCUAUAACAAAGCUCUGUGCAGCUGAUACAAAAAUCAAGAGUGUGCAAUGACUUGGAGGCAUCAUCAAAUAAAUUGAAUUUGAUAUCAAAGGAAACAGCAGGAGGUCACUGUGUUGAUGUUGUUAGUCUUUCUCCUAUUCCAUUAAUUAAGAAACUCCAUGUUUUAAUUUAAACUAAACUGCUGUGAAACCCUUCUUGUGGUGCAUGGUGUUAAAAUGUAGCACAUUGAAUUUAAGCUUCAUUUACAUAUGAGAGAACACAAGAGUAUAGUAUAAUUAUGCCUAUCUGAAGUACAUUUUGUUUUCAAAAGCCUUUUCAUAUCAGUGAUGGAUGACAUGUAAAGAAUAAGGAAAUCAGACUUUUGUAAAUCUCUGGAAUGAGUAUAUCUUGUCAUACAGAAUUUCUCCUGAAGUUCACCAUGGCAAUUUUUACAAUAAUA